AUUGAACGCUGGCGGCAGGCCUAACACAUGCAAGUCGAACGAGUGGCGGACGGGUGAGUAAUGUCUGGGAAACUGCCCGAUGGAGGGGGAUAACUACUGGAAACGGUAGCUAAUACCGCAUACUAUCGGAUGUGCCCAGAUAGGAUUAGCUAGUAGGUGGGGUAACGGCUCACCUGGGCGACGAUCCCUAACGGGUCUGAGAGGAUAAACAGCCACACUGGAGCUGAGAAACAGUCCGGACUCCUACGGGAGGCAGCAGUGGGGAAUAUUGCACAGUGGGCGCAAGCCUGAUACAGCCAUGCCGCGUGUAUGAAGAAGGCCUUCGGGUUGUAAAGUACUUUCAGCAGGGAGGCGUUACCCGCAGAAGAAGCGCCGGCUAACUCCGUGCCAGCAGCCGCGGUAAUUC
rnacentral:rRNA from 1 species